AUUGAACGCUGGCGGCAUGCCUUACACAUGCAAGUCGAACGGUAACAGGUCUUCGGAUGCUGACGAGUGGCGAACGGGUGAGUAAUACAUCGGAACGUGCCUAGUAGUGGGGGAUAACUACUCGAAAGAGUGGCUAAUACCGCAUGAGAUCUACGGAUGAAAGCAGGGGAUCGCAAGACCUUGUGCUACUAGAGCGGCCGAUGGCAGAUUAGGUAGUUGGUGGGAUAAAAGCUUACCAAGCCGACGGUCUGUAGCUGGUCUGAGAGGACGAUCAGCCACACUGGGACUUGGAAACGGCCCAGACUCCUACGGGAGGCAGCAGUGGGGAAUUUUGGACAAUGGGCGCAAGCCUGAUCCAGCAAUGCCGCGUGCAGGAUGAAGGCCUUCGGGUUGUAAACUGCUUUUGUACGGAACGAAAAGCCCCGGGUUAAUACCCUGGGGUCAUGACGGUACCGUAAGAAUAAGCACCGGCUAACUACGUGCCAGCCGCCGCCGUAA
rnacentral:rRNA from 1 species